GACGAACGCUGGCGGCGUGCCUAAUACAUGCAAGUAGGACGCUGAAGGAGGAGCUUGCUCUUCUGGAUGAGUUGCGAACGGGUGAGUAACGCGUAGGUAACCUGCCUGGUAGCGGGGGAUAACUAUUGGAAACGAUAGCUAAUACCGCAUAACAGUAGAUGUUGCAUGACAUUUACUUAAAAGGUGCAAUUGCAUCACUACCAGAUGGACCUGCGUUGUAUUAGCUAGUUGGUGGGGUAACGGCUCACCAAGGCGACGAUACAUAGCCGACCUGAGAGGGUGAUCGGCCACACUGGGACUGAGACACGGCCCAGACUCCUACGGGAGGCAGCAGUAGGGAAUCUUCGGCAAUGGACGGAAGUCUGACCGAGCAACGCCGCGUGAGUGAAGAAGGUUUUCGGAUCGUAAAGCUCUGUUGUAAGAGAAGAACGAGUGUGAGAGUGGAAAGUUCACACUGUGACGGUAUCUUACCAGAAAGGGACGGCUAACUACGUG
rnacentral:rRNA from 1 species